UCGACCCAAGUCGUAGGUUUCUUCGUUCGCAACGGAUUAGGAAGACCGGGUCGCGUCCGUCCGUCGGGAAACGUGGAACGAUCGGGUGCUGCCCGGGACUCGUGUCGGGACGCAGCUGGCGCUUGAGUUGAUCGGGUUGGCAUGCGUGCGGUCGGCCUGCGUCGAUGCGCCCGACGUACGAGGACGGCCGCCAGUUGGGGCUUCUUGUUCAAGGACGCCGCUUCGCGGGCCCUUCAAACGACUUCCAUAACAGCGACCGUCUCAUUAAAUCCUUUCUUUUAUACUUUUUUUGGCCUGAAACAUAAAGUGAUGUUUCAUAUUUGCCCCUGCUAUUUUUACCUUAGUUUGUCCUUUCCUUCUCUAUCUCCAUUAUUAUUGCCUGGUCUCAUCAUUGGAUCAUCAUUAUUGUCCUUAGAAUGUUAUUAAUUGUUUUUCCUUGUACUCAUCUCUCUGUUGGAUGACAGAAAAAUUGGUGUAUUCGAUUCCUAAAUUAAACUAGAAUAAUUUAUUUUAAAAAAUCACUAGUAAUCACUUUUUACCUAAUAACACUCAUAAUAUUUUUUUAGGAAUGAACUGAUAGACCCCUAUUCAUUCUAUCUAAUGAUAUGGUUAAUAGAUUAAUUGGUCCCAUUCGGAUCAAUUUUUCUAAACCUCUAACACAGUUCCCCUCCUCCUCCAUCUUAGUAUUCUUCUCCUCCUCUUUCUCUUCUAUUUUUCUUUUCUCCUCCUCUUUAUCAAUUGGUGCAUGAUAUGAUAAUCUUACAUCGUCAUUAUUUUUAUCUAAUUGGAAGAUUACAUAUCGAGUUUAAUCAAUAUUUGUUGGAUAAACCAAUGUUUGAAUUUUUUUUUUAUUAUAAGACCAACAUGGUAUUAAAAAAUAGUUUAUAGUCUUCAUUUUGUGAAAAAUUUUCACCUAUAAUCAAUAAAUCAAAAUUAAUUUAUACCUCCUACACAUAUUUUUACAAGAAUAGAUUAGAAUAAGAUUUGAUUAAAAUGAGAUACAGGGUAUUUAUAUUUUAUGCCCUAAGUAAAAUGAUCACAUUAUCAAUCAAACAUCUUCCUCUUUCGUAUCAAAACAUAUCAAUAUCUAUACAUCCUUGCUACUGGAGUUCUUAUCACCAUCUUGAUUCUGCUUAAAUCUGACAAUUUGAUUGUAAAUGAAGUUUGGCUCCCACUUGUUAAUAAUCUUUAUUUCUCAUUGUUAGCAUACAAAUUGAGCAAUUUGUCCCAAAGGCUUACUACCCAUUGCCCCACAUUAUUAGGCACAUUAGCUUCUUCUGGCCCACUGGCAUUUUAGGCUACAAGUAUCUUGCUGUUUUAAGAAUCAUUUCCUCAUAUUUGUGUGCUUCACAAAUCUAUCCUCAUAAAAUUUCAAAGGAGAGUAUAAGCCCUUACCAAAUCCACUAUAGUAUAUUUUUCAUUGUCGCCUAAAGAAAAUGGAAGCUAUAUUGUUCUCAAGAAACCUUGUAAAUGGCACCUAAAGAAAAUCUUGCCCAUUUUCUACCAAAAAAAAUUUUGUUUUUUCCUAUAUAAUGUUUAGGUAUCAUAAUAAUUGAUGAAUCAAACAUGUCAUGAAAUUGCGCAUUCAUCCGAAGGAUACAAAUGGGGAUGGAGUGCCACCAUCCACCCUCAGCUUUCACUUGUGGUUUCCCCACUUGGCUCCCCUCCCAAUCGCCACAAAACAUUCCUUUCCAUCAACCUUUUUCUAAUCUCUGUUCUUUGCCGACCUAUCUUUCCUUUGGUUCCUCCCCAAGCCACGCCCUUCGCUCUCCUCCCCAUCUCUCUGAAAGGAGGCUGUGCAAAGGUUGCUGCUUUUGAAAGCUGAAUCAGGUUGGUGAUCUUUCCUUAUUUUCUUGUCUUGUUUACUCGGUCGAUGAACUCUUGGAGUGUGGCAGUAGAAGCUGGGAAGGAGGGCUUGAUGGGAAGGGAGGGUGGGCAGACCGAUGAGUUCCCCGUUGGCAUGCGUGUUCUCGCCGUCGACGAUGAUCUGACUUGCCUGAAGGUGUUGGAGGCUCUGCUGCUUCGGUGCCGAUACCAUGUGAGAGAGAGUUCUAUGGGUGUGGUAGUAAUGCGAAUGAAGUUGUGAAUUGUGCCGGUGGCUACGACGAAUCAUGCUACUGUGACUAUCAAGUUGCCGAGGGAGAGCAGCGACAAACUUGAUUGGUUAUCAGUGAUGUGCAUAUGCUAGACAUCGAUGGUUUCAAGAUUCUGGAAAUUGUGAGCCCGGAGUUGGUCCCAUUAGAUUAUGUGGUUUUUAUCGGUGUUGUCAGUGAACAGUGAGAUCAAAAUGUGAUGAAAGGCAUAACCCAUGGCGCAUUUGACUACCUGCUAAAGCCUGUUCGGAUCGAGGAGCUCAGGAAUAUAUGGCAGCAUGUUUUUAGGAGAAAGAAGCUCCAUCACAGGGAUUAUAGCAAGUUUGAUAAUUGGGAGGAAUCUCCAUCAGAAUGAACUGUUCGGUAUGAAGAGGAAGGAUCAAAAAGAGGAAGAAGAUAAUGAUUCUGAGGAGAACAUGCAUCAGGAUGAAGAUCCAACCACUCGAGGGCUGUUUCGUCUAUCGACCGACACCAGAAGUUUGUAGCUGCUGAUAAUCAAUUAGGGAUUGACAAGGCUGUCCCUCAGAGGAUACUAGAGCUCAUCAAUGUCGAGAAGCUUACAAGAGAAAAUGUUGCGAGUCAUUUACAGGCAUGCUGUUAAAUUAUUUACAGUCAUAAUGUGUUUAGUUGCUUGCUACGAAGUUGAAGUACCUCAUGUUGUGUUUGCAGAAGUAUCGGCUUUACAUGAAAAGACUUCAGUGCUGUGGCAAGCCAACAGGCUAACACGGUUGCUGCUUUUGGAGGUAGGGAGCCUUCCCAUCUGCAUAUGGGUUCAUUGGAUGGAUUUGGGAGCUUUUAUGCAUUCAGCGACCUGCCAUUACAUCACUCCAGCCAAGUGAAGUGCUUGGGGAUUCCUACAUCAUCAGAGCUUGAGCAACUUCAACCAAAAAGAAUUCAGGAAUGGAACAGUCAUUCGCCCGGUGGUUCUUCUAGCAGUGGACAUUUUUCUUGCAGACCCAGCAGCUCUUUUGUCAAUUCGACUAGCAAUGCUCUUAUAUCAUAAACACAGCAGCAGCAGACACAUUCAUCGAUUGCUUUUCAAGUAGAUCAACAUUCAUAAGCUCAGAUCCUUUUCG